AUUGAACGCUGGCGGCAGGCCUAACACAUGCAAGUCGAGCGGAGCGGCGGACGGGUGGGUAAUGCCUAGGAAGCUGCCUGGUCGUGGGGGAUAGCGUCCGGAAACGGGCGCUAAUACCGCACACUAUCCGAUGGGCCUAGGUCGGAUUAGCUAGGUGGUGGGGUAAAGGCCUACCCAGGCGACGAUCCGUAACUGGUCUGAGAGGAUGAUCAGUCACACUGGAACUGAGACACGGUCCAGACGCCUAAGGGAGGCAGCAGUGGGGAAUAUUGGACAAUGGGCGAAAGCCUGAUCCAGCCAUGCCGCGUGUGUGAAGAAGGUCUUCGGAUUGUAAAGCACUUUCAGUUGGGAGGCGUUACCAGCAGAAUAAGCACCGGCUAACUUCGUGCCAGCCGCCGCGGUAAUAC
rnacentral:rRNA from 1 species